rnacentral:rRNA from 1 species
UACGAGUGCCCCAAGCGUUAUCCGGAAUCAUUGGGCGUAAAGGGUGUGUAGGUGGUUGUGUUAGUCUUUUGUUAAAUUCUUCGGCUUAACCGGGGGCAUGCGAAAGAAACGGCACAACUAGAGGAUGCGAGAGGUGAACGGAACUCAUGGAGUAGGGGUGAAAUCCGUUGAUAUCAUGGGGAGCACCAAAUGCGAAGGCAGGUUCACUGGCGCACUCCUGACACUGAGACACGAAAGCGUAGGUAGCGAAUGG